UGGGGAAUAUUGGGCAAUGGAGGCAACUCUGACCCAGCAACGCCGCGUGAAUGAUGAAGGUCUUCGGAUUGUAAAGUUCUUUUCUAAGGGAAGAAGAAAGUGACGGUACCUUAGGAAUAAGCCUCGGCUAACUACGUGCCAGCAGCCGCGGUAAUACGUAGGAGGCAAGCGUUAUCCGGAAUGACUGGGCGUAAAGGGUGCGUAGGUGGUUUGACAAGUUAGUAGCGCAACUCCGGAGCUCAACUUCGGAACUACUACUAAAACUGUUGGACUUGAGUGCAGGAGGGGCAAUCGGAAUUCCUAGUGUAGCGGUGGAAUGCGUAGAUAUUAGGAGGAACACCAGUGGCGAAGGCGGAUUGCUAGACUGUAACUGACACUGAGGCACGAAAGCGUGGGGAGCAAACAGG
rnacentral:rRNA from 1 species